CGAGAAAGCCCGCAAGGGUGAGUACAGCGGCGCACGGGUGCGUAACACGUGGGUAAUCUGCCCUGGAGUCCGGAAUAACUCGCCGAAAGGCGUGCUAAUGCCGGAUGAGACCACGGGGGCUUCGGCCCCUGAGGGAAAAGGUGGCCUCUGCAUGCAAGCUAUCACUUCAGGAUGAGCCCGCGGCCCAUCAGCUCGUUGGCGGGGUAAUGACCCACCAAGGCUACGACGGGUAGCUGGUCUGAGAGGACGAUCAGCCACACUGGAACUGAGACACGGUCCAGACUCCUACGGGAGGCAGCAGUGGGGAAUCUUGCGCAAUGGGCGAAAGCCUGACGCAGCAACGCCGCGUGUGUGAUGAAGGUCUUCGGAUCGUAAAGCACUGUCGCGAGGGACG
rnacentral:rRNA from 1 species